rnacentral:lncRNA from 1 species
AGACAGCCAAGAACAAAAACAAAACCCCGUGGGUGGGUGUUUCCAUGUUGCAGGGGGAAGGGCAGAAUCCCUAAGGAGGCUCACAGCCCCUCCAGCUCCUCCCCUCAGCAGAGCCCUGCCCUACCUGACUCUGCAUCUCCCCCAGAGCCUUGUGUUUCCAGUGUCCCCACCAGACCACGAGCCAGGGGCAUGAGGGCAGGUUAUCAUGGGCCCCCCCAGAGGGCGUUCCUGGUGGAUGAGAAGCUGGUACACAGGUCAUGUCCCAGACGGAGGCCAAGCUGGGUAGAAGGCCGAGGUGCCCAGUCAGCACUGGGAGGCAGACCCACCACACGAGGCACUUGGUUGUGGGGUUCACACAUUCUGAAAAGUUGGUUCUGCCACUUAUUAAAAAAAUUUUUUUUUCAUACUAGGGAUUGCACCCAGGAGCGCUAAACCACUAAGGCACAUCCUCAGCCCUUUUUAUUUUUUAUUUAGAGACAAGGUUUCAGUAGGUUGCUUAAGGACUUGCUAAAUUGCUGAGGCUAGCCUUGAACUUGGAAUCCUCCUGCCUCAGCCUCCUGAGCUGCUGGGAUUACGGGCGUGCACCACGACACCCAGAGGUUCUGCCUCUUUUGGAAAGGAACAUCAAGUUGUGUGCCAAAGCCUGGGGAUGGCUGUGACUCUCAACAGCAAGGCUGCAAGCAAGGGGAGAGAGGCAGAGCCCUCGCCUCUCUGCAGGCCAACAUGCCCACCUUGAAGGUCUGGGAGCAAGCAUCAGGGUGGAGUCACGCAGGGCCUUUAAAAAAUGCUCCCCGCCAGGGGGCUGCUGAGUUGGGCUGCCCAAACCCGGAGCCCUGACUGUGAGCUGCAGGGAGGAAAGGGUGGUGCUGGGGUUCCACAGAGAGGCUGUGCACCCACCCAGGCAGGGCCAGGUCCACCCUGGGCAGCAAGCCUCAGGGCACUGAGGUCCAGGGCUCUUCCACAUUCCAGCCUUUGUUCUGCUUCUAAACCUGAGGUCGGGAGUGGCCCGGAUUCUUAUCUGACUCUGACAGACCUCAACUGCAGAAGUUCUUUUUUCUACCUGUCCUGCUGUGUGGUGAGGACAGAUGGGCUCUGGGCACCUCCUGGGAGCUGGGUGGUCCUUAGCUGCUAGGAAGCUGGAGGUGCAGGACAACUGCUCCCAAGUGAGCCCACCUGAUGCCAGGUGUACACCAGUCUUACAAGGGCCUCGACGGUGGCCUGCGUCUGUGGGGUUGAACCCUAGGAAGGCUGGCUCACAGGCUCUGAAGACAGGGUAACUGCAGGGAAGGACCAAAGGAGGGAGACGGAGGGGAGGCAGCUCAGCAGGAGCACAGGUCUACAGGACUAAACUGGCUGCCCAGGGGCCCACGAGGCUGAGCCCUCUUCACUUUAUCUCUGGGGUUUAGGCCCGGCUCAGUCAGAGUGACUCUGUCGUGACUCUUGUUCUACAGUGGAGGACGUGUUUCAGAUUGGCAUUGCCUGUCAGAAUUAAUAUUGUCAAAAUGGCUAUACUACCAAAAGCACUAUACAGAUUUAAUGCAAUUCCUAUAGAGGUUCCAAGGAUGUUCUUCAGAAAAAGCAAUCAUGAAAUCCAUUUGGAAAAAUGAGAGGCCCAGAAUAGCCAAAGCAAUUCUCAGCAAGAAAAGUGAAUCACAAUAACAGACUUUAAACUACACUACAGAGCUAUAGUAACAAAAACAGCAUGGUAUUGGCACCAAAACAGACAUGUAGACCAAUGGAAUAGAAGACACAGAGACAAACUUACACAAAUACAGUUAUCUCAUACUAGACAAAGGUGCCAUUAACAUACAUAUGUCACAAAAUGAAAUCAAACCCCUAUCUCUCAUUCUGCACAAAAAUCAACUCAAAAUGGAUCAAG